ACGCUCGACACCUACGGAAGGCAGCAGUGGGGAAUAUUGCACAAUGGGGGAAACCCUGAUGCAGCGACGCCGCGUGAGCGAAGAAGUAUUUCGGUAUGUAAAGCUCUAUCAGCAGGGAAGAAAGUGACGGUACCUGACUAAGAAGCCCCGGCUAACUACGUGCUAGCAGCCGCGGUAAUCUGAGCGGGCUGGCAAGGC
rnacentral:rRNA from 1 species